rnacentral:rRNA from 1 species
CGGUAAUUCCAGCUCCAAUAGCGUAUACUAAAGUUGUUGCAGUUAAAAAGCUCGUAGUUGGAUUUCUGCGGGGACGGAGCGGCCGGUCGCAACUUGCGACUCGAGCUAGCGCUUUCCCCGCAUCCUGCCGCGAACCGUGCUACCAUUAGUUUGGUGGCGCUGGGGAUCGGCUCGAUUACUUUGAGAAAAAUAGAGUGUUCAAAGCAGGCCACACGCCUUGAAUAAGUUAGCAUGGAAUAAUGACUAAGGACUUUGGUUCUUUUCGUUGGUGUUCGGGACUGAAGUAAUGAUUGAUAGGGACAGUUGGGGCGGUCCGUAUUCCAAAGCGAGAGGUGAAAUUCUUAGACCUUCGGAAGACGAACAGCUGCGAAAGCGUUCCGCAAGGAUGUUCCCUUUGAUCAAGAACGAAAGUUGGGGGAUCGAAGACGAUCAGAUACCGUCGUAGUCUCAACUAUAAACUAUACCAGCUAGGGAUCGGCCAACGUUUAAUUAUUCGACUUGGUCGGCGCCUUAUGAGAAAUCAAAGCAUCUGGGUUCCGGGGGGAGUAUGGUCGCAAGGCUGAAACUUAAAGGAAUUGACGGAAGGGCACCACCAGGCGUGGAGCCUGUGGCUUAAUUUGACUCAACACGGGAAAACUUACCAGGUCCAGACAUAGGAAGGAUUGACAGAUUGAUAGCUCUUUCUUGAUCCUGUGGGUGGUGGUGCAUGGCCGUUUUUAGUCGGUGAAGUGAUUUGUCUGCUUAAUUGCGUUAACGGACGAGACCCCAGCCUGCUAAAUAGCGCGGCCGAGCUUUGCUCGGUACGAGCUUCUUAGAGGGACCAUGAUGCGCGAUAGCACAAGGAAGUUUGGGGCAACAACAGGUCUGUGAUGCCCUUAGAUGUUCUGGGCCGCACACGGGCUACACUGGCGCCUGCAACGAGCAUAUCAGCUGGCCCGAGAGGGUCUUGGCUAAUCUUUGGAACCGGCGCCGUGCUUGGGAUUGACCAUUGCAAUUGUUGGUCAUGCAACGAGGAAUGCCUUGUAAACGCGAGUCAUCAGCUCGCAUUGAAUACGUCCCUGCCCUUUGUACACACCGCCCGUCGCUCCUACCGAUGAAUGUUCCGAUGAAAUUUUCGGAGGGCGCCGGAGAACGGGGCUCUGCCCUGCAGAACUGGAGGCUCAAAGUCACUUAAAUCUGAACAUUUCGAGGAAGGAGAAGUCGUAACAAGGUAGCCG